UCAAAAAUAUAUAAGUAAGACUCAAUAUAACUAUUUUAGAAACUUAGUAUGCUAACUUUUUCUUUCAUAUCCAUUUAAAUGGUUUAAAGUGCAUUUGAUGCCUACCAAAAAAAAAACGAACAAAGAUAUAUAAGUAAGACUCAAUAUAACCAUUUUAGAAACUUUAAACAAUGUGAAAUCAUUUACAAAAACUUACAAAAAAAAACGAAAUCUGAAAGCUAUUAUGAGUCCAAACCUUAAAUGAAGGAGACAAAAUGAUAAGGUUGAGACUCUUGCCCGUUUUGCCUCUUCUUUCAUAUACAUUUAUGGUUUGAAGUGCAUUUGAUGCCUACUACAAAAAA
rnacentral:sRNA from 1 species